AUUGAACGCUGGCGGCAGGCCUAACACAUGCAAGUCGAACGAGUGGCGGACGGGUGAGUAAUGUCUGGGAAACUGCCCGAUGGAGGGGGAUAACUACUGGAAACGGUAGCUAAUACCGCAUCCCAUCGGAUGUGCUCAGCUGGGAUUAGCUAGUAGGUGGGGUAACGGCUCACCUAGGCGACGAUCCCUAGCUGGUCUGAGAGGAUGACCAGCCACACUGGAACUGAGACACGGUCCAGACUCAUACGAGAGGAAGCAGUGGGGAAGAUUGCACCAUGGGCGCAAGCCUGAUGCAGCCAUGCCGCGUGUAUGAAGAAGGACUUCGGGUUGUAAAGUACUUUCAGCGAGGAUGCGUUACUCGAAGAAGAAGCACCGGCUAACUCCGUGCCAGCAGCCGCGGUAAUUC
rnacentral:rRNA from 1 species